rnacentral:rRNA from 1 species
GACGAACGCUGGCGGCGUGCUUAACACAUGCAAGUCGAACGGAAAGGCCCUGCUUUUGUGGGGUGCUCGAGUGGCGAACGGGUGAGUAACACGUGAGUAACCUGCCCUUGACUUUGGGAUAACUUCAGGAAACUGGGGCUAAUACCGGAUAGGAGCUCCUGCUGCAUGGUGGGGGUUGGAAAGUUUCGGCGGGUGGGGAUGGACUCGCGGCUUAUCAGCUUGUUGGUGGGGUAGUGGCUUACCAAGGCUUUGACGGGUAGCCGGCCUGAGAGGGUGACCGGCCACAUUGGGACUGAGAUACGGCCCAGACUCCUACGGGAGGCAGCAGUGGGGAAUAUUGCACAAUGGGCGGAAGCCUGAUGCAGCAACGCCGCGUGCGGGAUGACGGCCUUCGGGUUGUAAACCACUUUCGCCUGUGACGAAGCGUGAGUGACGGUAAUGGGUAAAGAAGCACCGGCUAACUACGUG